GUGAAAGUUGCCUUAAAAUCUCUCCUUGAAAUACAACAAAGUUUGAUACUUUUAACCUCUGUGAGAUUCCCAACACAUUUUGUUGAAAUGAUUUAUUUACUUAUGUGUCAUAUUGUUGUCUUUAUUUGAAGAAUUCAGCGUGAAGCCUACCACAUACCAUAUGACUAAUAAUUGUGUCUUGAAUGAAUAUUUGAACAAAUGAAUAAAUCAGUCAAACUGGGUCCCUGGACCAUGCAGAGAACAACUGUCCCUUCCUCUUUGGUGGUUUCCUCACAACUCUUGAGGUGCUCCUUGUCUGUGGCACAGAGGUGCAGACCAAGUCACUGGGACAUGGCCAAUGGAAUGUUUCCACGGCAACAGUGGCAGCAAUUCAGGACACUGCGCCAGAGGAGUAAAAUUCCUGUCUAGCUCAGCAGUUCUAAAGGGGAGCAAAGCCUCCUGGGCACUAUUUGGACAGAGAGAGACGGGCUUUCGAGUUUUGGUGGAGUUUGGACAGACCGAGCAUCUACUGCAGGUGGGUGGUCUAAAUAAUCUGCAGACAGUUUAACUCCUUGCAGUCUUGGGUCCUGGAAUAUGCCUAACAUUUCAAAAUCAGCUUGGUUCUGGAGGCACAAAGUUUAGAAUCAAAGAUGAUUUCAUUCAAACAAGGAGAAGCAGCUGAAGCCAAGUUCCCAGAGGGAGCUGUUUUUCCUCAGACUUCCUCUAUUCGACUUUCUUGAGCCAAAGAAAGUAUUUAAAUAAAUAACAAAGCCUACAUGUUUUAACUAGUGUG
rnacentral:lncRNA from 1 species